GGCUCUGUGGCGCAAUGGAUAGCGCGUUGGACUUCUAAUAAAACACUUCAUYAAGUGAUUCAAAGGUUGUGGGUUCGAGUCCCACCAGAGUCG
rnacentral:tRNA from 1 species